rnacentral:rRNA from 1 species
GAUGAACGCUGGCGGCGUGCUUAACACAUGCAAGUCGAACGGAAAGGCCCAAGCUUGCUUGGGUACUCGAGUGGCGAACGGGUGAGUAACACGUGGGUGAUCUGCCCUGCACUUCGGGAUAAGCCUGGGAAACUGAGUCUAAUACCGGAUAGGACCACAUUUUGGAUGGUGUGGUGGAAAGUUUUUCGGUGUGGGAUGAGCUCGCGGCCUAUCAGCUUGUUGGUGGGGUAAUGGCCUACCAAGGCGUCGACGGGUAGCCGGCCUGAGAGGGUGUACGGCCACAUUGGGACUGAGAUACGGCCCAGACUCCUACGGGAGGCAGCAGUGGGGAAUAUUGCACAAUGGGCGCAAGCCUGAUGCAGCGACGCCGCGUGGGGGAUGACGGCCUUCGGGUUGUAAACUCCUUUCGCUAGGGACGAAGCGCAAGUGACGGUACCUGGAGAAGAAGCACCGGCUAACUACGUG